GAUGAAGAACGUAGCGAAAUGCGAUAAGUAAUGCGAAUUGCAGAAUUCCAGUGAGUCAUCGAAUCUUUGAACGCACAUUGCGCCCUUUGGUAUUCCUUAGGGCAUGCCUGUUCGAGCGUCAUUUCAACCCUCAAGCCCUGCUUGGUGUUGGGCGUUUGUCCUGCCUCCGCGCGGGACUCGCCUCAAAGACAUUGGCGGCCGGUUUCCCUUUGCAGGCCACGAGCGCAGCACAGCGAGCGCUCUACGUGGACGCGGGGUCGGCGCACCAGAAGCCCUCUUUCUCGAAUUUUGACCUCGGAUCAGGUAGGGAUACCCGCUGAACUUAAGCAUAUCAAUAAGCGGAGGA
rnacentral:misc_RNA from 1 species